ACUUCGGUGUUCGGCUGCUCUUCGACGCUUGAGGCCCAUCAACACUUUCUCUGCCAAAACCUAAUUCAUACGACGGCGACGAUGACUGUCGACCUUCUUCAUGAAUCUGGAAUGGAGAGCGUUAUAGUUUAUCGGUGUUUAUUAUCAUUAAUUCAUACGCCCACUACGAGUUCUUCAAUCUGUCGUUUCCAUCUGAAAGGUUGUGAGUUUUGGUAUAAAUAGAUAUCAAACUCGAAUCCCACUCCUAAACUGGGAGCAUAGUUUCGUUAUAGUGAAAGGUAUUGUGGAAGGAUUGUGCUACCUCCAUAACUUCACAUGCCCACCGAUCCUUCACUGCGACCUUAAGCCAAGUUAUAUGCUUCUCGGCAGAGACAUGAUCCCAAAAAUCUCAGAUGUUAGGCUGGUUCAGAUGAUGGAAACUGGCACCACAGAAGCUGCCAUGGGAACAGCAGGGCUGCAUGUCUGAAGAAUAUGGGAAAGAUGAUAUCAUAUCUGAGAAAUCGGAUGUCUUCAGUUAUGGAGUAGUGUUGUUAGAGAUUCUUACUGGAAGGAGAAACCAUGAGUAUUGUAUUACAAAUCAAGGAGAUAGUCUUCUCGACUACGUUUGGAGGCAGUGGACGGAAGGUGCUGGAUUCGAGCUUCCAUGAUGAUUCAUUGUAGAAGACCAGGUUUUACGAUCAGUGAAGAUUGUCUAUCCUAGGUUCAACAAAAUAUGCACGAUAGACCUAUCACAAGGACCGUCGUGCUUGAAAGUAGCCCAUGAUCAGAAAUUCCAGAACCGACGAAACCAAACCAUUAUCUCACAAGAGCUGAUCUCAUGCCCGCCACCAUCAAUGUGAACCAUACUCCCACCUACAGAUGACACUUGAAGGCGCAGGUUCUAUGUUCUCUAUGAUACUUCGUUGUCACUAUGUGUAAUCAUAAUUUUAGAUUGUCAGACUUAACUCCGAAGAUACGACCGGUUUGAUGAGAUAACCAGCAUCAAUGUUAUGAAUCUAUUUCAAUAAUGCUGAGUUAGGCAUCAAAUAUCAAUGUUGGGUUUUUUCUUUAAGACGUGACAUCUGCUUCUGUUUUCUUUUAAUUUCUGGACAAUGUUUAUUUUCUGAAACAUAUUUUAAAUUAUGUUUGGCUUUAAGAUUACACAAA